rnacentral:rRNA from 1 species
CAGUCGCCGCGGGAAUACGUAGGGUGCAAGCGUUAAUCGGAAUUACUGGGCGUAAAGCGUGCGUAGGUGGUGGUUUAAGUCCGUUGUGAAAGCCCUGGGCUCAACCUGGGAAUUGCAGUGGAUACUGGGUCACUAGAGUGUGGUAGAGGAUAGUGGAAUUUCCGGUGUAGCAGUGAAAUGCGUAGAGAUCGGAAGGAACAUCUGUGGCGAAGGCGACUAUCUGGGCCAACACUGACACUGAGGCACGAAAGCGUGGGGAGCAAACAGGAUUAGAUACCCGCGUAGUCCCUGUCUCUUAUAC